rnacentral:rRNA from 1 species
UAAGGGGGCUAGCGGAUGGAAGUGCUAGUCUAAGGUCGUAGGAGGUUAUACAGGCAAAUCCGUAUAACAAUACUCCGAGAACUGAAAGGCUUUUUGAAGUCUUCGGAUGGAUAGAAGAACCCCUGAUGCCGUCGAGCCAAGAAAAGUUUCUAAGUUUAGCUAAUGUUGCCCGUACCGUAAACCGACACAGGUGGGUGGGAUGAGUAUUCUAAGGCGCGUGGAAGAACUCUCUUUAAGGAACUCUGCAAAAUAGCACCGUAUCUUCGGUAUAAGGUGUGGUUAGCUUCGUACUAGGAUUUACUCCGAAAGCGAAGAAACUUACAACAAAGAGUCCCUCCCGACUGUUUACCAAAAACACAGCACUCUGCUAACUCGUAAGAGGAUGUAUAGGGUGUGACGCCUGCCCGGUGCUCGAAGGUUAAUUGAUGGGGUUAGCAUUAGCGAAGCUCUUGAUCGAAGCCCGAGUAAACGGCGGCCGUAACUAUAACGGUCCUAAGGUAGCGAAAUUCCUUGUCGGUUAAAUACCGACCUGCAUGAAUGGCGUAACGAGAUGGGAGCUGUCUCAAAGAGGGAUCCAGUGAAAUUGUAGUGGAGGUGAAAAUUCCUCCUACCCGCGGCAAGACGGAAAGACCCCGUGGACCUUUACUACAGCUUGACACUGCUAUUUGGAUAAGAAUGUGCAGGAUAGGUGGGAGGCUUUGAGUAUAUGACGCCAGUUGUAUAGGAGCCAUUGUUGAGAUACCACUCUUUCUUAUUUGGGUAGCUAACCAGCUUGAGUUAUCCUCAAGUGGGACAAUGUCUGGUGGGUAGUUUGACUGGGGCGGUCGCCUCCCAAAUAAUAACGGAGGCUUACAAAGGUUGGCUCAGAACGGUUGGAAAUCGUUCAUAGAGUAUAAAGGUAUAAGCCAGCUUAACUGCAAGACAUACAAGUCAAGCAGAGACGAAAGUCGGUCUUAGUGAUCCGGUGGUUCUGUGUGGAAGGGCCAUCGCUCAAAGGAUAAAAGGUACCCCGGGGAUAACAGGCUGAUCUCCCCCAAGAGCUCACAUCGACGGGGAGGUUUGGCACCUCGAUGUCGGCUCAUCGCAUCCUGGGGCUGGAGCAGGUCCCAAGGGUAUGGCUGUUCGCCAUUUAAAGCGGUACGCGAGCUGGGUUCAGAACGUCGUGAGACAGUUCGGUCCCUAUCUGCCGUGGGCGUAAGAAGAUUGAAGAGAUUUGACCCUAGUACGAGAGGACCGGGUUGAACAAACCACUGGUGUAGCUGUUGUUCUGCCAAGAGCAUCGCAGCGUAGCUAAGUUUGGAAAGGAUAAACGCUGAAAGCAUCUAAGCGUGAAGCCAACUCUAAGAUGAAUCUUCUCUAAGCUCUCUAGAAGACUACUAGUUUGAUAGGCUGGGUGUGUAAUGGAUGAAAGUCCUUUAGCUGACCAGUACUAAUAGAGCGUUUGGCUUAUCUUUAAUAAAGCAU